UCAUCAGCUGUCUCAACGACAGAUAUCUGCAUAUUUUGUACAACAAUCAUUUACAUAAAUUCAGCAUUAUUUCAUCAGAAAAGACAGAGGAAGUGAUCAGAUUGCCGCAGCUACACGAGCUGCCAGCUGUUGCAUUUACUGCGUGUUGGUCAUUUCAAAGAGUCACCGAUUAUCGCCUCGUUUCUGCUUAAAACUGACUUUAGAAUGAUUUAAGAGGUUUAACUUUAUCAUCUGAUGGUCAAUAAUCACAUUAAUCCAUUUGAUCGCUUUGGGUGAAGAGACUCCGUCUCAGAAGAGCUGCUGUGGUCUGAAAUGAUGCAUGCGCUGUGGAGACGGACCAAAUUUUAGGGGGGGAUCGUUCGGUUUGCGACACCGGCACGUGGAAAUCCACACUGGACAAAAAUGGACACGAUGUUUAAAGACUAUUUGUCAAUAACAGCUUGAGAAGAGAGAGUGUGUGUGUGUGUGUAUUGGGGUGGGGGACACCUGUUUGUCACACACCUGAAUUAAAUGACAGGUGUGUAAGAAGGUUCACAUCGACUCACCAGCUGGAACACAGAAGGAAUAAUACAGAGUAAUUAGUAAAAGUUAAUGAAGGUCUCUGUAACGUGGAGUUGUGUCAGGAAGGGCAGCCGGUGUAAAACUUGUGCCAAAUCAACCUCAGAUCUGCUGUGGUGACAUCAAGUGAAAACCAGGUUGAAGCUGAAGGGACUAAUGAAGAUCUGCACGUUUACAGUUUGUUAGCUCGUUCGUGUGACGGUUUUGAGAAAAACAGAGGA